UACGUAGGGACCAAGCGUUGUUCGGAUUACUGGGCGUAAAGGGUGCGUAGGCGGCGCGGUAAGUCGGGUGUGAAAUCUUGGAGCUUAACUCCGAAACUGCAUUCGAUACUGCCGUGCUUGAGGACUGGAGAGGAGACUGGAAUUUACGGUGUAGCGGUGAAAUGCGUAGAUAUCGUAAGGAAGACCAGUGCGAAGGCGGG
rnacentral:rRNA from 1 species